AAUACUUUAAUGUUUCAAAUAAUUUUGUUUGUGAUAGUUCAAAGAUGAGGAACACUUCACACUACACGGUCGAAGGUAAAGCACAUUUCACUUCAAGUGACAACAACUUUCAUCCCGAACCGAACUAGACAGUGAACAAGCUUCCUUACGACACUUCGACGUUAUGCGGAUACAAUUGUUUAAAUGGAGCUUUGAAAUAAAGAACAGUCAGAUGAUAAUGAAGUAUUGAUUUUAUUCUGAGUCAAGAAACUGUUAAAAAUUAUCUUGGUUUUGCUUUGUCUGUUGCCAUUAAAGUGGAAAGAGCGAUGAAAUUAACUGCUGUAGUCCUGCGUCACUUGUCUGAAGCUACGAAGUAACCUACGAUAUUUUCAAAGUUUAAAUGGCAUUAUAUCUACCGUUGGAUAAUUAAUCGUUGUAGAUCGCAGAAUCUGAAACGGCGUUUGAAAAAUUGGCAUCAUACGUAUAACUGACACAUUUUAGAUGCUAAAUUCGGUUAAAAAUAAAGGACAGUAGAGGAAAUAUUAGUUAUUUUAUUUUAUGAAAUGUAAAAAACACUCAUGUAUGGU